rnacentral:lncRNA from 1 species
CGAAAGAGGAGGAUGCUUCAGUCUGUCCGUGCGCCUGCCUUCCAGCUCUCCCUGACCUCACUGCCAAAGGGCAGCGUUCUUCCCUUCUUAUUUUCUUAUUCUGUCCGUGCGCCUGCCUUCCAGCUCUCCCCUCUGGUUUCGCAAGUGUCUCCCUCUCUCUCCCCGCCAGUCUUUCCGUUUUUCCUCUGCCUAAGGUAGCUUUGGUUCCUGCGUCUCUGCGAGCUGCCCAAAGGGCAGCCCCUUUCUCCCGCUCCCCC